rnacentral:rRNA from 1 species
GAUGAACGCUCGCGGCAGGCCUAAUACAUGCAAGUCGGACGGGAUUCAGGAGCUUGCUUCUGAUGAGAGUGGCGCACGGGUGCGUAACACGUAUGUAACCUACCUUUAUCAGGGGGAUAGCCUCUCGAAAGAGAGAUUAAGCCCGCAUAAAAUCACAGCACAGCAUUGUGUAAUGAUCAAAUAUUUAUAGGAUAAAGAUGGGCAUGCGGAACAUUAGCUAGAUGGCGGGGUAACGGCCCACCAUGGCGACGAUGUUUAGGGGAUCUGAGAGGAUGGCCCCCCACACUGGUACUGAGACACGGACCAGACUCCUACGGGAGGCAGCAGUAAGGAAUAUUGGUCAAUGGGCGGAAGCCUGAACCAGUCAUGCCGCGUGCAGGAAGACGGCCCUACGGGUUGUAAACUGCUUUUAUACGGGAAUAAACCCAGAUACGUGUAUCUGGCUGAAUGUACUGUAAGAAUAAGGAUCGGCUAACUCCGUG